AUCUUCGGGGCGGGGUGCGAUUCCCCACCGGCGGUACAGUCCGCGAGCUCCCAGGGAGCUGAUCCGGUGAAAUUCCGGAACCGACGGUUACAGUCCGGAUGGUAGAAGAG
rnacentral:ncRNA from 1 species